AGAACAGACUGAUCUCAGCGGAACGUAAGUUCAUCACCUGAUCUUAAAGAGAACAUUUACCAAACACGGAGUAAAAAACAAUCAACUAAUCAAUACUGUUUCCUCAUCAGGAGAAAUAAUAUUCCUGAAUUUUUAUAGGAAAAAGUCUCAUAUAGUGAAUAAAAUACAUUGUACUCAGAUUGUCCUAAUAUUGUCCUAAAUUUUUCCUAAAAAUAUUGUAAUUCAGAUUGUCCUAGAGUUGUGCUAAAAUUGUCGUCCAGAUUGUCCUUAAAGUGUCCACAGAUUGUCCUAAUAUUGUCCACAGAUUGUCCUAAUAUUGUCCACCAAUUGCCUUAAAAUUGUCCUAAUAUUUUUCUAAAAUUGUCCUCAGAUAUUUAAAUAUAAGCACCAACUCUGAUCAGUAAAAUGUUAUAUUUUAAUCUUCAUCUUUCCUCCUGCUGUUUAAUAAAUGUUUAUUUAUUCAUUACAGAAAGAUUCAGUAAAUCAAUGUAUUUACCUCCGAAUCUGGCUGGUGAUGAUGAUGAUGAUGAUGAAGGUCAGAAGAGACUGGUUGCAGGACUGACUCCAGGCAGACGAAGCUGGAAUUCCAGGAAUGUCUCCACUCCCAAUCUGGCUUUUGGGAGAAAUGAUGAGUAAAGAAGUGGAGAUUCAGUGAAAGAUCCGUUACUCACCUGCAGUGCCUCGCACCAAUACCAGCAUCACCACCAACACCAUAAAUCACCAUUAUCUCUUAAACCCUGCCCACAUCCAUGAACUGAACACACUGACCAACUCUGUACUGGUCCAUCUAGAAAAGUAUCGCAACACUGUUAACAGAAUCCCCCUGAAAGAGGCUCCUCUAACUAGUUACUGACAGUAGAAUAUAACCAGACUGGAACAUGUUCAGCAGUAUCCAUUCAUACCAGCUAGAACGGAUAAAGCUGCUGACUAACUGACAUUAGUUUCACUUUCAAAUUAUGGACAAAAACACACCAAAAGCUAAACUUAUUCUUUAUAUUUGACAAAUGUUUGAUUAACGUUACAUGUCUUCACUCCUCUUAAGUUUAAUUAACUGAACUGAGUUUUAUCUGCAAAAGAGACGAGUGUUUAUUGGGUCUCCACUGCCCCAAAAAAAACACUAUAAACACUCUAAUCACCAAAAAAUCUUUCCGUUUUCUGUGAAUCAGCUGAAAGAGUUAUAUAAGAAUAAUUUGCUUCUAUGAGCUCUUUGGCUCCUCCCUUAUUGUGAUGUCAUAUAUUUCUAAUAUGGAAACAUAUAAGAUGUUUUUUUUCUGUCAUUUUCAAGUGUGGUAAACGCUCAGCAUAAACAUUAGGAUGGACGAGGUGCUGCAAAAGCUUAUUUGCAUAAAAGUGUCAGAGUCCUUAAACGGCUCGUUCUGAAAAGAACUGGAACUGGUAAGAAUAGAGCUGCUGAAAACGAACUGACAAAUAUCUUGCACUUAUAGAGAAUAUGAUUUAUUUUAACAGAUAAUCUCAAAGCUUUUGAGAUUUGGUCCCCUUCUAUUUCUUAAUUGGAAAGUAACUGAAUGUAAAAGCACUGGACACUGCUUAC